rnacentral:rRNA from 1 species
CCUACGGGAGGCAGCAGUGGGGAAUAUUGCUCAAUGGGGGCAACCCUGAUCCAGCCAUGCCGCGUGAGUGAAGAAGGAUCUCGGAGUGUAAAGCUCUUUUUGUAGGGAAGUAAAUGACGGUACGUGAAUAAGUAGCCCAGGCUAACUACGUGCCAGCAGCGGCGGUACUACGGAGGGGGCAGGCGUUAUCCGGAUGUAUGGAGUGUAAAGGGGGCGUAGUCGGUUGGUAAAGUCAGAAGUGAAAGCCCGGGGCUCAAGCUCGGGACUGCUGUUGAAACUGUGUAGCUAGAGUGCAGGAGGGGUAAGUGGAAUGCGUGGUGUAGCGGUGAAAUGCUUAGAGAUUAGGAAGAACACCGAUGGCGAAGGCGGCGUACCGGACUGUGACUGACGUUGAGGCUCGAAAGCGUGGGGAGCAAACAGGAUUAGAUACCCCUGUAGUC